rnacentral:lncRNA from 1 species
CAGAAUCCUUAGCAUCCGACCAACCUUUGAAAAGCUUUUCAAAUGUUGAUAAAGGACGGUCAGGAGACAUUAAUUCACCUUUAGAACUACAAUUGGGGAGAUUCAGUUUAGCAUUUCGACCUCUUAACCUAAAUGCCGCAUGAUCAAACGCCAAAGCAGCUUCCUCUUCCGUGUCAUAGGUGCCUAGAUAGACAUCACGAAUCUUGGCUACCCAUGGCCCCCCAUAGAACUCACUCCUACUCACACUCAUGUAUUUGCUUUUUGGUGCAGAGCUUGUCGACCGUGGUAUCCAUGGUUCCUGUUAUUUUACACCAACUAUGAGAAAGAUUGUAGAAGGGGGGGGGUUGAAUACAAUCUUUUACAAAUUUAAAAGAUUCAAGAACAAUACACUAAGAACACAAUAAACAGAAAAACACCAAGUAUUAAAAAUACGGGUGGAUUGAAUGAUCCACCCGUGAGAUUUUAUAUAGAAGAAUCUGUGGAUUGUUUUACAAUUCGCACAGCUGCUGGUUCAUCACUCAAACAAGUUCUAACUCUCAGAUUUUUCUCUCAAGUAAUUUGAACAAGUUCAACUGAUGCUACUAACUUGGUUAUAUACUCCAAGUUUUACAAAGCUUUUAGCUAGAUUACAAAAUGCACUCUAAUCUAAAAACAAUGCUGCACAACUUUGUCUUAUGCAUGCUUUCUGAGAUGUCUUCAUCUUUGACCAUCACCUUGAUUUGAUCCAGAUUGCACUGCAUGAGAUAAGUAUGUUUCUGCUUCUUCUUUAUUUUCCUAAUUAGGCUUCCAUGUCUAUUUUAGUGUAAUUCGAUCCAUGUGAUUUGUCAGACUUAAGCUCUAGUCACUUUCAACUGCUCUUUGCUUCAUCAGUUGAAAGUUCUGGUUGCUUUCAACUGCUCUUGACUUUAUCAGUUGAAUGCCUGGCUCAUCAGUUGAAUGAAUUACAAACUCCAUCAGUUGAAUGCUGUUCCAGUCUCAUCAGUUGAAUUCCUCAGCAUUAUCCGUUGAACACUUUGUCUUCAGUUGAAUGCUUGAUUUUCAUCAGUUGAAACAUCAUCCAGUCUUUAUCAGUUGAACAGUUACAUCUCAUCAGUUGAAUAUCCUUCACUUAGAUAAAAUUACAUGGCAUUGGAUAUUUACAAUUAGCCAUCCUAUUCUACCCAUCCGUUGAUAAUUCCCAAAGACAAGAAAUGUAACAAUUACAACUGAAAUUUGAUAAAGAUUCUAAGUAAGACAUGUUACAAAAUGUUUAUGUUAUCAUCAAAAAUUAUUGAUUCCUAACAAUCUCCCCCAAUUUAUGACUGGAGAAGAUGCAGACAUAAAUUCUACACUUGAUGAUAACAAAACAUUAAUAAAAUAAAAUGCAGAAUUUAAAUACAAGAGUUAGAAAAGAUUACAGAUGAUUAUGCUCCUCUAGACUGAGCAGUUACUUGUUCCUAGAAGAUCUUCUUCUUCUGGACUUAAGUUUUUCUUCAAGAAUAUUAAUCUGCUUCUGAAAGAUCCUGUAGAACCAUUCUUCAUCACUAUCUUGUCUGUUGAGCUUGGAUUGAAGAGUCUAAAGUAGGAGGAAUUUGACUGAUCAAUUCUGCAGGAGUUGGUAAUUCUUUCUCCCCCUUUUUGUUAGCAGCAAGUGUAAGGGAUGGACUGGGAAGAGAAGCACCAGAGGCAAGAAGAAGAUGUUGAAGGAGUCCAGUCUGAAUUCUUUGAUGCUGCAACAUCUCAUCCAUUCUAGAGUUUAAGAUAUAUACAUUGCCUUCCAGAGCUUCUACUUGCUUUUCCAAUUGCAGUUGUUUUUGCUCAGAACCAGAAAUAGCUGAUUUGACCUGAGCUGGAAGCUUUUCAUCAAUUUGUUUGGUCAGAUCAGUCUUAACAGAGGCAAUGAGACAAUUGAGAUGCUCUAUCUCUUUCUGAAAGUGGAGAGAUUGAUAUUUGUGAAGCUUGAGGUUGUCCAGAGCUUGACUGGCAAUGGUGGCAGAGAUGGCUUGUAGAAGAUGUAGAUGAUUUCUUGCCCAAUUGAGCCACUCUCUUUGCAAUGGAGUCCAAUUCUUUCAUCCUUUCAAUCUUUUGCUUUUCCCUUUCAGUGUGGAAAGGAGGAGGAAUUUGGCUGAUCAAUUCUGCAGGAGUUGGUAAUUCUUUCUCCCCCUUUUUGUUAGCAGCAAGUGUAGGGGAUGGACUGGGAAGUGAAACACCAGAGGCAAGAAGAAGAUGUUGAAGCAGUCCAGUCUGAAUUCUUUGAUGCUGCAACAUCUCAUCCAUUCUAGAGUUUAAGGUGUAGACAUUUCCUUCCAGAGCUUCCACUUGCUUCUCCAAUUGUAGUUGUUUUUGCUCAGAUGCAGAAAGAGCUGAUUUGACCUGAGCUGGAAGCUUUUCAUCAAUUUGCUUGGUCAGAUCAGUCUUAACAGAGGCAAUAAGAGAAUUGAGAUGCUCUAUCUCAUGCUGAAAAUGGAGAGAUUGAAACUUGUGAAGCUUGAGAUUUUCCAGAGCUUGACUGGCAAUGGUGGCAGAGAUGACUGGAGAAGAGGAUGAGCUUCCAGGUUGUGAUUGAAGAGGGAGUUGGUAAUUCUUUCUCCCCCUUUCUGUUAGCAGCAAGUGUAGGGGAUGAACUGAGAAGAGAAACACCAGAGGCAAGAAGAAGAUGUUGAAGAAGUCCAGUCUGAAUUCUUUGAUGCUGCAACAUCUCAUCCAUUCUAGAGUUUAAGAUAUAGACAUUUCCUUCCAGAGCUUCCACUUGCUUUUCCAAUUGUAGUUGUUUUUGCUCAGAUGCAGAAAGAGCUGAUUUGACCUGAGCUGGAAGCUUUUCAUCAAUUUGUUUGGUCAGAUCAGUCUUAACAGAGGCAAUAAGAGAAUUGAGAUGCUCUAUCUCAUGCUGAAAAUGGAGAGAUUGAAACUUGUGAAGCUUGAGAUUGUCUAGUGCUUGACUGGCAAUGGUGGCAGAGAUGACUGGAGAAGAGGAUGAGCUUCCAGGUUGUGAUUGAAGAAUGGUGGAGGCUUGCCUUUCCAGCUCCAUGCUAACAACAGUUGCAUUGGCAGACUGCAUGGAGAGCCAUGAAGGUAGAGAAGUUGUAGGUUGUUCAACAAGGGAUUCCUCAAGAGCAUCAUUGAGGUCUUCAUCACUAUCAUCAUAAUGAAAAUCAUCUCCAGCAUUGGCAGGCAGAGCUGUAAAUGCCUCCUUUGCUCUAAGCAUUGAAGAUGUAGUGUGAAUCAGAUUGAGGUGCCUCUCAGCUGCUUGAUUGUCCAAUCUGGCAAAGUCUUGAAUGGAGGACAUCCCAUGAGUAAAAGUCUCAGGGUCUAGUGAAACACCAUCCAAUAUGGAUCUGUAUUCAGCUUGAAACUCUUGUUCACUAAACCCUUCAUUGACACCUGCAUUUCUCUCAAUUUCUCUCUUUUCUUGCAUCAAGGGCUCCCCUUGGCUCACCACACCACUCACCUCUCCCUCACUUACCCUUACUAAAGGGUCACUCUUAUCCUCUCCUUUUUCCUGGCUAGAAGAAAAUGCCAGACUCUCCACACCCUCUCCUUUUGCCAGCUCACUAGGCUGCCUCUCCACUCCAUAGCUCACUCCACUCAAUCCUAAAAGUGUUUGUGCUACCAUGUGAUCAACUGCUGUAGAAAGAGGUAAAGUAAUUGAAGUAGCAGCAGCUGUCAACUGAUGAGAGACAUCAGUUGAAACAUUAGUAGAGGAGGAAUUCAACUGAUGAGAGCUGUUAAGCAGAUCAGUUGAAGGACAAACACUUGUCAACUGAUGAGGGAGAUCAGUUGAAGAAAAUGAAGAAAUAGGUUUAGAGGCUGUGAUAGUUGAGUCUGUGGUGAUUGAUUUUAAAGGAAAAUCCACAGAACACACUGUCACAGAAGAAGGAAAUGGAAGAGAAAGAUCCAACAAAUCAUCAAAAUGAUGAUGAUCAAUCUCAGAUGGGGGCUUCUCCAUGAAAUCCAAAGAUGGAGAAUUUACAAGUGUGGUGUGAAUUAAUUCCACAUCCACAGAAGAGGUUGGGGAUUGUGUUUGAGUAGUAGAGAUGGUAAGAUCAUAAAUAUGGGUGAUUGGUUGAGAUGAAGAAGGGGGCUGUGACUCCACAUUUAUUGGAGUCACAUCAAUCUGACUUUGAGAAGUUAAAGGCAUAAAAUCCAGAAUGGAUGCCUGUGUGUGUGCAGAGUGCUUCAGUUUUUCACUUCUUAGCUUCUUUCUCCCAUAAGCUUUUAUUGGUGAAGAAGUGGUGUCCCUCCCCCUUUUUAACUGUGUCCCUGGUUGAGGACUAUUUUCAAUAGCAACAUCCUUUUGGGAGGAUGCUGCUAGGGAUGAGUUUAAUUCCAUAUUAACAUCUACAGUCUUUUGGGAGACUGCAGAGUGGCCAGGCUGGUCAACACACAUCUCUCCAUCCUUAUUCUUAGGGCUUCUUUUAUGUUCACCUUUUCCCUCCCCCUCACAACCUCCAAUCACACUCCCCUCAGGUUUGUGUUUCUUGGAUUUUACAACAGAUGUCUUUUGGGAGGCAUCUGAGGUUGGUUUAGAAGACUUGUUUUUAGAAGGUUUUGCCACUUGUGUGGACUGUUGAUGGGCCUCUUCAACAGCCCUGAUGGCAGAAAGCAAAGAAGGUGAGGGUUGAGAAAGAGUAGUAGGAAAGCCAUGUACCUCUUUGUGCUUUCCAGCCUCCAUUGUUGGCAGGUACACCACCUCCAAGGAGGGGUAUAAAUUCAUCCUAAAGAGGUCUUUAAAGACUCUCUUUUCCUGCACAAAACUGGGAAGCUUGGCUUCCUUGUUAGUAAUAACUAGCUUAUCAUUGAGAUGAUUAGCUAGCAUCAUAAGAAAUCUGACAUAAUAAAUAUUCCUAGGUCUAUCAGUUUUAUCACCUAGUUUCUCCCCAAUUUCUUGGAUCAUCAAACCACCAAAGUUGAAAUAUUCAUUAGUCAGGUACAUGUAAAGCAUUUGUAAAAUCUGGGAAGUAAGAGCAUUGAAAUUACUAAUUUUACCAGAAAAUGCCUUAAUAAAAGCAUCACAUAAAUAACUCCAUUCUCUCCUAAGACCCCUUCUUUCUAUUUUACCUAAGGCAUCCGUUGGUAAAACAUAAUUCAUGGCAUAAAGUAAAUUAACCAACUGAACAUCACUAGGCAAAGAUAAAACAGUAUCUUCAGGAAUCUUAAAGCAUGCUUUCAUAAUAUCAGCAUUAACAGAAUGAGUUUCAUUUUUAAUAGAGAAAGUUAGAGUUUCAUUCUCACUAUUAAACUCUGCAGAGGUCCACAUCUCCUCCACUAUUUCAUGGUAGAUGAUGGGAGCUUCAGUCAUAGCAUAGGAGAGCUGGCUUGACUUGAUGAACUCCAUCAUCCUGUGAUACUCCUUCUCAUCCACAGCUUUAGUAUCCACAAAUGACGCAAAGUUGUUCUUUUCAUAGAUAAACCCACUGGUGCNNNNNNNNNNNNNNNNNNNNNNNNNNNNNNNNNNNNNNNNNNNNNNNNNNNNNNNNNNNNNNNNNNNNNNNNNNNNNNNNNNNNNNNNNNNNNNNNNNNNNNNNNNNNNNNNNNNNNNNNNNNNNNNNNNNNNNNNNNNNNNNNNNNNNNNNNNNNNNNNNNNNNNNNNNNNNNNNNNNNNNNNNNNNNNNNNNNNNNNNNNNNNNNNNNNNNNNNNNNNNNNNNNNNNNNNNNNNNNNNNNNNNNNNNNNNNNNNNNNNNNNNNNNNNNNNNNNNNNNNNNNNNNNNNNNNNNNNNNNNNNNNNNNNNNNNNNNNNNNNNNNNNNNNNNNNNNNNNNNNNNNNNNNNNNNNNNNNNNNNNNNNNNNNNNNNNNNNNNNNNNNNNNNNNNNNNNNNNNNNNNNNNNNNNNNNNNNNNNNNNNNNNNNNNNNNNNNNNNNNNNNNNNNNNNNNNNNNNNNNNNNNNNNNNNNNNNNNNNNNNNNNNNNNNNNNNNNNNNNNNNNNNNNNNNNNNNNNNNNNNNNNNNNNNNNNNNNNNNNNNNNNNNNNNNNNNNNNNNNNNNNNNNNNNNNNNNNNNNNNNNNNNNNNNNNNNNNNNNNNNNNNNNNNNNNNNNNNNNNNNNNNNNNNNNNNNNNNNNNNNNNNNNNNNNNNNNNNNNNNNNNNNNNNNNNNNNNNNNNNNNNNNNNNNNNNNNNNNNNNNNNNNNNNNNNNNNNNNNNNNNNNNNNNNNNNNNNNNNNNNNNNNNNNNNNNNNNNNNNNNNNNNNNNNNNNNNNNNNNNNNNNNNNNNNNNNNNNNNNNNNNNNNNNNNNNNNNNNNNNNNNNNNNNNNNNNNNNNNNNNNNNNNNNNNNNNNNNNNNNNNNNNNNNNNNNNNNNNNNNNNNNNNNNNNNNNNNNNNNNNNNNNNNNNNNNNNNNNNNNNNNNNNNNNNNNNNNNNNNNNNNNNNNNNNNNNNNNNNNNNNNNNNNNNNNNNNNNNNNNNNNNNNNNNNNNNNNNNNNNNNNNNNNNNNNNNNNNNNNNNNNNNNNNNNNNNNNNNNNNNNNNNNNNNNNNNNNNNNNNNNNNNNNNNNNNNNNNNNNNNNNNNNNNNNNNNNNNNNNNNNNNNNNNNNNNNNNNNNNNNNNNNNNNNNNNNAUCACUAGGACAAAGAUAAAACAGUUAUUUUCAGGAAUCUUAAAGCAUGCUUUCAUAACAUCAGCAUUAACAGAGUUAAGUUUUAUUAUUGACAGAGAAAGUUAGAGUUUCAUUCUCACUAUUAAACUCUGCAGAGGUCCACAUCUCCUCCACUAUUGCAUGGUAGAUGGUAGGAGCUUCAGUCAUUGCAUAAGAGAGCUGGCUUGACUUGAUGAACUCCAUCAUCCUGUGAUACUCCUUCUCCUCCACAGCCUUGGUAUCCACAAAUGACGCAAAGUUGUUCUUCUCAUAAAUAAACCCACUUGGUGCAGUAUACUUCUUCAUUGGUGCCAUUGCAGUUACAGAGAAAGCUUGAAGAGAAAUUAGAACUUGUUUUUGCACAGAGAGAGAAGAGAGCUUUGAGAAUUCGAAAGAGUGAGAUGAAAAGAAAUGAAAAUAAAUUAAAACACUUAAAUACUUUCUCAGAAAAUUGCUGUGAUUGGCUGAGAAAUUACCGUUGAGAAGAAAUUACUCUUAUUGAACUCUACAAAAAUUACACACACGAUCGUGUGUAUAAAGUAGGUGAGAGACAAAAGAAAUUUCAACGGCUCAGAUCUGAUAAUACUUUCAACGGAUGAAAUAAGCGCCUCUUUAAACUUCCUAUUCAACUGAUGAAGAUCAGUUGAAAGCGUCUUCAACUGGUGUCAUCAGUUGAAUGAAAAACAAAGCAAGAGGAUAUUGUUUCAAACAUCAGUUGAAACAAUUUCACUAGUUCAUCAGUUGAAAUAUUAUAGACUUUAUCCAGAAUUAUAAUUAAUUCAAUUUUGAUAAAUCAAAAUUAAUCAAAUUCUGGCUGCCAAAUUACAGAAAAAUUCACUCUAAAUUAGGAGAAAUUUAACAUACCUAAUUUACUUACCAACCUUGUGAAUGUGGAUUCAUCAAGAGGCUUUGUGAAAAUAUCUGCAAUCUGUUCUUCACUUGGAACAAAAUGCAUUUCAACAGUACCAGCCAUCACAUGUUCUCUUAUGAAGUGGUAUUUGAUGUCAAUGUGCUUGGUUCUUGAGUGUUGUACUGGAUUUUCAGUUAUAGCAAUAGCACUGGUGUUGUCACAAAAUAUUGGGAUUUUUGAGAGAUUUAAUCCAUAAUCAAGUAAUUGAUUUCUCAUCCACAAUAAUUGUGCACAACAGCUUCCAGCUGCAAUGUACUCAGCCUCAGCUGUAGAGGUUGAUACAGAAUUUUGCUUUUUGCUAAACCAAGAAAUCAAUCUGUCACCAAGAAAUUGACAGGUGCCUGUUGUACUUUUUCUAUCAAUUUUGCAUCCUGCAAAAUCAGCAUCUGAAUAUCCAAUUAGAUCAAAUCCAGAGUCUUUAGGGUACCAAAUACCAAGAUUUGGUGUUCCCUUAAGAUAUCUGAAUAUUCUUUUUAUAGCAAUAAGAUGUGAUUCUUUAGGAUCAGAUUGAAAUCUAGCACAGAGGCAUGUAGAAAACAUAAUAUCUGGUCUACUAGCUGUCAAAUAUAAAAGAGAACCAACCAUGCCUCUAUAAUUAGAGAUGUCCACAGAUUUCUCAUUAGGACUUAACUCUAAUUUGGUGGCUGUUGGCAUGGGAGUCUUAGCUUCUUUGCAAUCCAAUAAAUCAAACUUUUUAAGUAGAUCAUAGAUGUACUUAGUUUGAUUUAUGAAUAUACCUUCCUUUACUUGUUUAACUUGUAAACCAAGAAAGUAGGUGAGCUCUCCCAUCAUGCUCAUUUCAUACUGACUUUUCAUUAGAUUAGCAAACUUCUUGCAAAGUUUCUCAUCUGUAGAACCAAAAAUUAUAUCAUCUACAUAAAUUUGAACCAGAAUAAAGGCACCAUUUACAUUUCUGUAAAAUAGUGUUUUAUCCACAGUUCCUCUGGAAAAAUGAUUGUCUAACAAGAAUUGAGACAGAGUGCCAUACCAUGCCCUUGGUGCUUGCUUUAGUCCAUAGAGUGCUUUUAAUAAAAAGUAAACAUACUCUGGAAAUUCUGGAUCUUCAAAACCAGGAGGCUGACAGACAUAUACCUCCUCUUCCAGUUCACCAUUUAGAAAAGCACUCUUGACAUCCAUUUGAUAAACUUUAAAGUUUGCAUGAGCAGCAUAGGCCAGGAAGAUUCUUAUUGCUUCCAGUCUUGCAACUGGUGCAAAGGUCUCAUCAAAAUCAAUUCCUUCAGAUUGAGAGUAUCCUUUAGCAACAAGCCUUGCCUUGUUUCUGGUGACAACUCCAUUCUCAUCCACCUUGUUUUUGAAUACCCACCUUGUUCCUACAAUUGUUCUGUUUUUAGGUUUGGGAACCAGCUUCCAUACAUUGUUUCUCUCAAAUUGAUUUAAUUCUUCUUGCAUAGCAAGAACCCAAUCAGCAUCUUUGAGAGCAUCUUCUAUGACUUUAGGUUCAUCCUGUGAAAGGAAUGCACUGUACAAACACUCAUCUUGAGUUGCUCUUCUUGUUUGUACAGAUGCAUUUGCAUCUCCAAUAAUUAGUUCAAAAGGGUGAUCCCUUGUCCACUUUCUUUGUGGUGGAAGUGAUUGUCUUGAUGAUGUGGCUUCAUUAUUGAAGUUCAGGUUUCCAUGUUGGAAAGCUCCCCCUAAAUUUGACAUCUCAUUAUUUCUAGACUGAUUGAAACUUUGAGACAUUCUUUCAACUGAUGAUCCUUGAGGUGUUUCAACUGAUCCCUCCAAUGUAGUUUCAACUGAUGCUUCAGUUGAAUUUCCAAUUGCAGUGAUUUCCCAGCUUCAUCCUUAGAAUGCAGGAAGAAAGUCCAAGUGAAUUUUGAAAAAUCAUCAACAAUCACUAGGCAAUAUUUCUUCUUUGAAAUAGACAUGAUGUUGACUGGUCCAAACAAAUCCAUAUGCAAGAGCUGAAGGGGCUUUACAAUUGAUGAAAGAGUCUUGCUUUUGAAAGAGCUUCUCUUUUGCUUUCCUAGCUGACAGGCUCCACAAAGUCCAUCUUUUGAGAAUUCCAGCCUAGGUAGACCUCUUACCAAGUCCUUCUUUACUAACUCAUUCAAGGUUUUGAAAUUUAGAUGAGACAAUCUCUUAUGCCAUAGCCAACUGUCAUCUGAGCUUGCUUUGCUGAGAAGGCAAGUGAUAGAUUCAGACUUUACAGAAUUGAAGUCAGCUACAUACACAUUUCCUUUCCUUUGUCCAAUCAGAACCACAUUGUUGUCAUCUCCUUUGGUGACAACACAGGCUGCAGGAGUGAAAUUAACUUUGUAACCUUUGUCACAGAGCUGAUUGAUGCUAAGCAAGUUGUGCUUAAGACCAGACACCAAUGCAACUUCAUCAAUGAUGACAUUCUCUUUUGCAAUCAAGCCAUAUCCCAUAGUAUAUCCUUUGCUGUCAUCUCCAAAGGUAAUGCUAGGGCCAGCUUUCUCCACAAACUUUGUGAGCAGGGAGGAAUCACCAGUCAUGUGCCUGGAGCAUCCACUAUCCAAGUACCACAAAUUCUUCUUGUGGUUUCCCUGCACACAUUUCACAAACAGAUCAAGUUGAUUUUGGUACCCAAAUUGCUUUGGGUCCAGAUUUGUUAGUCUUAGCAGCCUUUUCCACUUUCUCAACCUUUUCCUUGGAUUGAAUUGGUUCAAUCUUUGGUUUUGGUUGAGAAAUUGGAACAUCAACUCUGUUUUCAAACACAGGCCUUUGAGACAUGCAUAAAUUGUUCAUUCCAUGCAAGUUUGAAUGAAAUUGAGGCAUGUUAAAGGCAUUGAAAUAAGGAUUGAACAUAUAUGGCAUGUUAGGCUGAGAAUAAGGAUUGUGAGGCAAUAAACCAGGCAUCAUAUUCAUAGCAGAUAAAUUCAUGUGAGGAACAGAUGUCAUAGGAAUAGGCAAAGAUAAAUUAGGAGCAAUCACAGUUUUACAAUUAGCAGAUAAAUGAUUUACACUACCACACUUACUGCAGGUUUUCCUAAGAGCACUAGCAUUGGGAGUGUAAUUGGUGUGCUUGUUAACUCCUAUUUUGCCAUUUCUAUUUCCUUUCUUCUUUUUAGUCUCCUCAGAUUUAUGCUCACUAGUAUCCAACUUCUUCUUGUUCUUGUUACUGGAAUUAAGAGUGUUAUUAACACUAUCACUGGUCUCAGAAGAACUAUUCUCACCUUUAACAAAAUUCUUUUUAACAGGACCAUAUUUCUUGUUAAGCUUCUUGAGAACACUCUUGUCAACUGAUGAGUUUUUGUUCAACUGAUGACUCUCAUCAGUUGAGACUUUGCUCUUCAACUGAUGAUCAUCAUCAGUAUUCUCAUCACCUGAACUGUUCUCAGAUAUCUCAAGCACUUUCUUAUUCCUCUUCCACUCAUUCUCUACAAAGGUCUCUCUACCUUGCAUGUUGAUGAUAUUGGUGGAAACAUCCCUACCAGAUUUCCAUUUGGCAAUAAUCUCUUGUUCCUUAUCAAGCUGCUUUCUUAUGAUCUCUUCUCUUUUCAGAACAACCAAGAGAUCAUCCUUGGCUGUCUGACACUCAAUUUUCAGCUUCUCAAACUCAAUAAAUUGAGCUUCUAAGACACUGUUUCUAUCACUAAGAAAGGUGUUAGCUUCCUUAAUUCUACUAUUUUCCUUAGUGAGAGAUUUUAAAGAAACAUGCAAAUGAUACAAUUCUGUAGACAUUUCAUUAAUGGUAGCAUUGCAUUCAUCUUUAGUUAACUCAACUAGGUUUGUAGUGAAUACCUGACUACUGCUUCCAGUGUUUUCUUCUUGAUCUGUGGAGUUGGCCAUUAGAGCUAGAUUGACAAACUCCUCCUCUUCAUCAGAAUCAUCUCCAGCUGCCCAAUCAUCCUUUGUGAUGAAUGCUCUUUCCUUUUGUUUGAGAAGUUCAUAAUAUUUCUUUUUGUAGUCAAUGUUUUCACUUGACUUCUUCUCAACUUUAGGCUUUCUGCACUCAUUUGCAAAGUGACCUGCAUUCCCACAGUUGAAGCACUUGAAUUUUGAUCUGUCUACCAUGCUUCUAUCAGACUUGGGAUUGCCUUUAAAAGAUUUUGCAGAAUUAAAAUUCUUUUUGAAUUUCAGUUUGGAGAAUCUUCUUGACAGGAAGGCUAGAUGUUCAUCAAUUCCAUCACUUUCUUCACCAGAAUCAGCUACUUCUUUCUCCUUUCUUCUUCCUUUGCUUGACUCUGAGCUCUCCUCUUUGACCAACUUCUCAGUUUCUUCAACUUGAGACUUUCCCUUGUCCUUGACAGUAUCCUCCAGAGAUGCAAAUAGAGCCACAGAUGAAUGCCCUUUCUUUUGGCUUUUCUCAAUCUCUUCAUCUUGCUCCAUUUCAAGCUCAUAAGUUUUUAAGGUUCCAUACAGUCUCUCUAGAGUAUAGUCUUUAAACUCUUGUGUAUUUCUGAGAGAGACUGUCAUGGGUUUCCAUUCUUUGGGAAGAGCUCUUAAGAAUUUCAAGUUUGAAUCCUUAACUUGAUAUACUCUACCAAAGAGCUUUAGACCAUUUAACAGUUUUUGAAAUCUGUUAAAUGUAUCACUCAAACUUUCACCAGCCUUGAAAUGGAAUGACUCAUAUUGUUGAAUCAGAAGCUGCAUCUUGUUCUCUCUCACUUGCUCAUUCCCUUCACAGAUGGUCCUGAUGGUGUCCCAAACUUCUUUGGCACUUGUGCAGCUAAUAACACUAUCAAUCAUUUCUUGAUCCAAACCAUUGAACAGAAGAUUCAUGGUUUUCUUGUCCUUGUGCACUUCUUCAGUAUCUUCUUGAGAAUAUUCAUGGAUAGGUUUUGGGAUCAUCUUACCUACCAUGUCUUCACCAUCAGCUCCAAUACUUGUGCAGACCUUCAUGGGGACAUGAGGUCCUUUUUCAAUACAGUUCACAUAGCUCUCAUCAAUGGACAACAGAUGCAGAUGCAUUCUCACUUUCCAGUGAAAAUAGUUGUCUUUGUCAAGAACAGGAAUCUUCACUCCAGCAUCCUUCUUUCCCAUCUUUCUCUAGCAGUGUUGAUCUUUUUCCCUGUUUGUUGGGAACCUCGCUCUGAUACCAAUUGUUAUUUUACACCAACUAUGAGAAAGAUUGUAGAAGGGGGGGGUUGAAUACAAUCUUUUACAAAUUUAAAAGAUUCAAGAAUAAUACACUAAGAACACAGUAAACAGAAAAACACCAAGUAUUAAAAAUACGGGUGGAUUGAAUGAUCCACCCGUGAGAUUUUAUAUAGAAGAAUCUGUGGAUUGUUUACAAUUCGCACAGCUGCUGGUUCAUCACUCAAACAAGUUCUAACUCUCAGAUUUUUCUCUCAAGUAAUUUGAACAAGUUCAACUGAUGCUACUAACUUGGUUAUAUACUCCAAGUUUUACAAAGCUUUUAGCUAGAUUACAAAAUGCACUCUAAUCUAAAAACAAUGCUGCACAACUUUGUCUUAUGCAUGCUUUCUGAGAUGUCUUCAUCUUUGACCAUCAUCUUGAUUUGAUCCAGAUUGCACUGCAUGAGAUAAGUAUGUUUCUGCUUCUUCUUUAUUUUCCUAAUUAGGCUUCCAUGUCUAUUUUAGUGUAAUUCGAUCCAUGUGAUUUGUCAGACUUAAGCUCUAGUCACUUUCAACUGCUCUUUGCUUCAUCAGUUGAAAGUUCUGGUUGCUUUCAACUGCUCUUGACUUUAUCAGUUGAAUGCCUGGCUCAUCAGUUGAAUGAAUUACAAACUCCAUCAGUUGAAUGCUGUUCCAGUCUCAUCAGUUAAAUUCCUCAGCAUCAUCCGUCGAACACUUUGUCUUCAGUUGAAUGCUUGAUUUUCAUCAGUUGAAACAUCAUCCAGUCUUCAUCAGUUGAACAGUUACAUCUCAUCAGUUGAAUAUCCUUCACUUAGAUAAAAUUACAUGGCAUUGGAUAUUUACAAUUAGCCAUCCUAUUCUACCCAUCCGUUGAUAAUUCCCAAAGACAAGAAAUGUAACAAUUACAACUGAAAUUUGAUAAAGAUUCUAAGUAAGACAUGUUAAAAAAUGUUUAUGUUAUCAUCAAAAAUUAUUGAUUCCUAACAGUUCCCCUGAAUUGCCUAUCACUAGGUUCAAAGCUUUAACCAUAAUACUCACAUCUUCAUCCAUGGCUUCCGUUGAUUUGACAGAUGCGAUUGAUUCAACCAAUCAGAUCAGCCACACAACUCUCUAGUCAACUAAUUGUAUGAUCGAAUGGAUCGAUUGGAUUUUCAAGGAAAUGGAUCGAAAUUCAGCUUCUUCAACAAAUUCUCAAAGGCCACAUGUUGAAAAGUAUAAGAGUAUGAGCUAUAAUUAUUGAAGCAAGGAGAGCUCAAAACUUCAAAUUAACUCUCAUUCUAUUUUUUCUUCUUCAUUCAAUAAAUACCAGAUGUCUUCUCCAGCUCAACAAUUCAUUUUCAGCAACUAUUCUACGCAACUUAAUGUCGCAUUCAUCAACAUAACACCCUCACAAGCACGCGAAAAUGGCAACCAUUCUAUUGUUGGCAUUUUCGGCAUAGCUGUUUCAGUCCUCCUCACAGCCUUGCAACUCAAGUACCAAGCAGGAACAGAUUCUGCAUUCCAAGACCACCCUAUAGCGAUGGCGAUCGCUAUAGCAAGUUUCCUUCUUUUCUGCUUGGUAUGCGACUUGGAACAAUACUUUGGCCCCACUCGUUGUAACUCAGCUUUUGCAAUAGUAUUGCAUCACUUGCUCAGAUUGCUUGGUUUCCUUUCACUAGCAUCGUUGGCCUCUGUCAUUUUUUCGACAUCCACAAGCUCGACUUCGUCACUCAUUUUUUAUAUGAUUUUCUUAUGCUUUUUUGCAGUAAGGUCGGUUUUGCAUUGGAUUCAGAAUAGAAAGUUAGAUAGAAACAGAGGAGCCUGCAAUUUUCACAGUUUAUAUUGAAAUAUAGUAUAAGAUCCAUUUGGGGCCUUCUUCUAACACCUUAAGGCUGUGUUCACUUGGAUGGAAUGGAAUGAGGGGAGAAUGGAAUGAAAAGUUAUAUAGAAGUUUUAAGGAGAAGGAAGAAAGUAUGAGAUAAUAGUGACAAAACAUGAAUGUAUUCAAAUUUCUUGUGAGAAAGAUUGUAAGAAAACAUGAUGUAGAAAUGGAAUGAGCAUUCCUUCCAAAACAUGUGGGUUAGAAUUAUAGUUAAAAUAGUAUGAAUGGAAUGAUUGAAGGAAUGAAAGUUGUAUACAUUUUCUUUGAUCAACACCAUUUUUUAGUACAAAAUUCAUUCCAUUCUCCCUUCAUUCCAUUCACUCCAAGUGAACACAACCUAAGAUUUCAGAUGGAUCGGUUUCCAACAUGGUAUCAUAGCUCUGUUAUCCACUUACACCCCCACAUUUACUAUGCAUGAAUCGGACUAUGGAAUGGAAGCACUGAAUUUGGGAUCAAGAGAAUGGAUGAUUGAAUGGUAUUUGAAUAUAUAGUUGUAGAAUAAAUUGAAGCAGAACAAAGUUGUUCUUUCACCCUGCUCAACAGGAGUUCAAAAUUGUUAUUCGAGGCUUUACUAUUACAGUCAGGGACGGAGGGAAGGGGGGUAUGGGGUGGUCUUGGUCCCCCCAAAACCUUCCCCGAGCCCUUAUAUAUAAUCAAUUUAUAUGAUUAAAAUUCAUAAUUUGUAGUAUCCCCAAAACUCAUGAUUUUGUAGUAUUUUGUCCUUAAAAUUUUUUUAGUAAAAUUUCGCCCCCCGGAAAAUAUUUCUGGUUCUGUCCCUGAUUAGAGUAAUCCUCUUAUGUUUGUGUAGAAGAGUUCAGUGUUAAAAAUCUGAAGUUUGCUUGUAUCUGUGGACUGUGGCAGUACACGCGAUAUACAGACAAUAACUUAUAUGUUAACAUACGCAUGCCAAAACACUUCUAUUUCAGUAUCCGGCAAGGCGGGCACUGAAAUGCUGAACUUUUAAACCUCUUAAACACACGUAUUGAACCAUAUCAAAUCACACUUGUUCAUCCUAUGAUGUGUACACAUAUAUGCAACCCUCAACAGCAAGGCCAAUCAUGAUGUAAAAAUAAAUGUGCGUCACACGACAUCUAUGAGAAUGAAAACAUGUCCGUGCCUGGCACGGGCUACAGUGUUAUUUACGUAACAAGACAACACAAGCGCUCCAAAUCUAACAUUGAAGGAAUAUUGAAUUGAUUUUCUAUAUUCGUUCCCUCUAAUCAGUGAUUAGAUACCCUAUUCCGUUUACUUUCAAUUUUAAUAUUUGGGACUAUAUAUUAUUUUAUUGGGAACCUUCUCGUAUUAAUAAGGUUCUACAGCACAUGCAAAAAGUGUCGUGCUUAUAUAUUAUAUCUUAAAGUUAUUUUUGAACACCCACAACGAGGUUUCCAUAGCAGAACUUUAGUGGUUCUAUGGUUCUAUUUUAAUAAUUGGUUUUCUCUUAAACGCAACCCUAUUUUACUAUUGUUAUUAUUAUGAUUACUUUUAUUAUAUAAAGGAGGACCAGUGGAGAGAUUACUGGGCAACUACACAGAUAAAGAGGCCUUCGGCGUGGAGGGUGUACAAUAAAAAAUGUCAACUUACCUAUUUAUUAUUUUCUUUUGAAGCAAAUGCAUGUUACCUAAAGCUAUUGAAUUGCAAGGAAAGAUGGUCUACAAAUGAAUAAGCCUAUAUAUCGCAACAGAUAAACUUGAAACCAAGAAAAAUUGCAGAGUUCCUGAAUCAGUAUAUUUGUAUAUUGCAAUUCACCAUGGUUAUAGGUUUUAUUAUUCGCGACAGAGACGAGGAAUGUAGUAACUAUGCACGCCUUAGAAAACCAGAAUAUGUGAGCAAGUCGCUGAUACAGAUGUGGGUUUUAAGCUACAAGACCAAUGAAGAGGGCGAAGAUUACUGCGAGCUUUCAACUCAAAAUGAACCAUUCUAUAUUGUUUCCGAUGAUGAUGAUGGAGGACUUGCAUCGUACAGGAUGCACUCGGUUACUCAUAAGAUUAUGCCGGAUGAAGUCAAUAAAGUAGAGGGUCAGAAGCAAGAAGGUGUUAUUAGCCGUGUACUGAGGAACAAAAGGCCUGAAAUGAGUCCUGACAUUUCUUGUUACUCUUUACAAGAGUACCCGCAUAGAGAUUUUGCUUUAAGUUGUGGGAUUCGAUCUUCUCUGUGUGUACCGAUAUACCAAUAUAUCUAUUCUUAUGAGUGCCCUGGUGGAGUUCUUGAAUUUGUCUCUACUUCUGCCGAUCAACUCGAAAACUUCAGGAACUCUUGCAGAUACUACGAAGCUUUUGUUUUCCGAGUAAGUAAAUUAGACUCCUUGAAACCUUUCCGGUCAGCCCCAUUAGUUAUAAGAAAAUAACACACGGAUAAUGCCCAAAUAACAUAGUUGGGAAAAAUGACCCCAAAUAUAUAUAAGUUAGUAACGAUGGAUAAUCUAGUAGGCUAGAUCGUGUAGCGCUGCGUUUUUGGUAUAUAUCGGAAACGCUGAAUGAUGUAGCGUUUUAUAGGAUAAUGAUAUUUUAGACAUUAAUGAUUAAUGAUGAAUAUUGUGAUAAUGAGGACAACACCCUAUUGAUAUAUAGCUUUUUUUUUUUCAAAAAUAAUAAUUUUAAGUAGGCUGUCGCAACUCUUAAAAGUACGGAUUAGAAUCUCCAAACAGGGUAAUUGAAAGAAUACAGUUACAUUUGAGAAUCAUUUUAGUCCCCCUAGCACUUUGGGUACCAUUCCCCUUUUUGAUCCAUAAUACUGUAUUUCUUUAUAGGCCAAAUUUCUUUUUUUCUUACAGGGAACCAAAAUGUAUUUGAUGAUCGACCAGAUAUACUGUGACCCAAGAAGGCUUGUAAGUCUUUUGAGCUGAUGAAGUUUUCUUGCAAAACGAAUUCGUUAGACGUCAGUUUAAUUAUAUAUCUACGGUUUAAUUUCAGUAUUUAAGGCGCAAUGUGGAAAUGGAUCACUUGUUAACGGUGGUGUGUCAGAAAUACCCUAUACCUCUUGCUCAGUACUGGGAGGUCAGGGAUGUUAAUGUCCGAGAUCUAGGCGUAGUGAAUCAAGAAAGCAACAUUGACUUCCCCAACGUAACUCCCUGGCUUCAAUUCAAAAACGCUUGCAAAAAUAUAGGUUUGUAUAUAGAUCAAGGCCUUGUUGGCAAGUCAUAUCUGUCCCACAAAUCCUUCCUCUGCAGGGAUAUAAAAGAAUUCAGCAUUACUACUUACCCUUUAGCACACUAUGCACCAAACUGCAGGCCAAUUCCUUGUUUUACUAUAUGCUUGUGCAGCUUUAAGCCGCGGUACAGAGAAUAUGUACUAGAACUUUUUCUACCCUCUCAGGAGAUGGAUAGUUAUGACCCUCGAACCUUGUUGAACUCUCUAAUGGAAACAAUGAAGGAACAUCUUCCGGAUUAUAUGGUUGCUUCUGGAGAAAAACUAGGACAAGUGUUAUCAGUUGAAGUCAUAAAAUCUUCUGCACAUGAUAAGCCCGAGUAUUUGAAAAUAGGUGAACCCCAGAGCUCUCUUCCUCCUCAGGAAGGGUCAAGAAAUGAAGGGAAUGCAUCCCAUCAAUUCCCUUUAAGUUUGCAUUCGUUGUUUAAAGGCGGAGCUGUGCAAGAUGGGAAUGUUCAGAACAUAGAAGAGACCGACUCAACUAUGAAUUCUUACGAAGAAAUUGCCACUGGGGAAACCUCAACAAGUAGACCCAAUAUCGUCGCAGACACCAUUCACGGUUUGUCUUUUUCACUUAUUUGUUAAGAUCAUUUAGUUUUAGUGUUUCUAACUGUGUAAUUUGUUCGGCAUUUCUUCACUAGAUUAAUAUGUAUGAAUUGUACACCUUAAUUAUCUGUACUCGACUACAUUGGCUUUGCAGCAGAUGAAAGUGUUCAAGAAUCACCUGUUAAUAAUAUUGCUUAUGCUCUCACUAAUGAAGAUGUGAACUAUGCUCUAAAUAAUAAAGAAGACAUGAACCUCGAGAAUGUUAGUAAGCAUUUCGGAAGACCACUCAAUGAUGCAGCAAAGAGCUUUGGAGGUAGGUUAUAUUCUACUGUACUUCUAUCUUUCAACUUACAUUAUUCCCAAAACAUUCAUUGCCUAAGCAUUGUUGUGUAUUUAUUUUGAUAUUGAACAUUUUAGUUAGCCGAUCCACAUUCAAGCGCAUAUGUAGAGGGCUCGGUAUCAAGAGGUGGCAAUCCGGGAAGAGAAGAAUGAAUGGUAACUUUUCAUCUAGGCUCGGAAAAGGAAUAAAUCAGGAGCAACCAGGUAGAAGAAAUUUUGGUAGUACCAGCAUGGCAGCAGUGAAUGAUACAGUUGUUGCUCAUCCUAGCCAAGACUUGAAUAAGAUGAUUGUAAAGGCAACUUACAAGGAUAUUACAAUAAGGUUUAAACUACCUGAUUUACCAGGAAUUGCAGAGUUGGAAAAUAAUGUGAUUGAGAGGCUGCACUUGGAGAGAAAUAAUUUCACCAUCAAGUAUCAAGAUGAGGACGGUGAUUUGGUUUUAAUUGCCUGUGACAAGGAUGCCCGAGAAUGUAUUGAAAUCUCAAGAUCUUUGAAGGAAACGACAAUCAAAUUGUUGCUUGAUCUGCCUCUUAAUCACAAUGCACUUUGAAAGCAUAUGAGUACUACUCUCUCCCUUUUAUUUUUUGGCUUUUCCAACAAAAAUGUGCUUAAACUUGAAGUUUUGUGACAAUUCGCUUGCUGUCUUCGUGUGGUCGCAGACUCGCAGUGUACAUCACAGUAUACAGUAUCCCUCUGUUUUUGAAAUACAAGUCACACACAUAUUGAGUUGUGAUUUGAAACCGCCUUCCAACAAUUUUGAAACGGAAAAAAAUUAAUUUUGAAACUUUCUUUCAAUACCGGAAAAUGUAGUUUUGAAACUUUCUUCUUCAAAUAAUUUCGAAACCAAAAAUGAUAAUUUUGAAACUUUCUUCGAAUACCGAAAAAGAUAGUUUUGAAAUUAUCUUUCAAUAUAUACAAAAUUAAAAAAUUAAUUUGUGAUUUUUAUAUUACAGAAAUUCUAGAAAGAUUUGAAAAAUUGAAUAAAGUUAUCGCAGUUACGCCACCCAAACGCCGUAGCUUCUGCUUUAUACAAGUAUAUUGAAGAUUGAGGGGGACAGAUGGAAUAUUAUAUAAAGGAGGACCAGUGGAGACUGGAGAGAUUACUGGGCAACUACACAGAUAAAGGCCUUCGGCGUGGAGGGUGUAUAAUUAAAAAAUGGCAACUUACCUAUUUAUUAUUUUCUUUGGAAGCAAAUGCAUGUUACCUAAAGCUAUUGAAUUGCAAGGAAAGAUGGUCUAGGAUUGAAUAAGCCUAUAUAUUGCAACAGAUAAACUCGAAACCAAGAAAAAUUGCAGAGUUCCUGAAUCAGUAUAUUUGUAUAUUGCAAUUCACCAUGGUUAUAGGUUUUAUUAUUCGCGACAGAGACAAGGAAUGUAGUAACUAUGCACGCCUUAGAAAACCAGAAUAUGUGAGCAAGUCGCUGAUACAGAUGUGGGUUUUAAGCUACAAGACCAAUGAAGAGGGCGAAGAUUACUGCGAGCUUUCAACUCAAAAUGAACCAUUCUAUAUUGUUUCCGAUGAUGAUGAUGGAGGACUUGCAUCGUACAGGAUGCACUCGGUUGCUCAUACGAUUAUGCCGGAUGAAGUCAAUGAAGUAGAGGGUCAGAAGCAAGAAGGUGUUAUUAGCCGUGUAUUCAAGAACCAAAGGCCUGAAAUGAGUCCUGACAUUUCUUGUUACUCUUUACAAGAGUACCCGCAUAGAGAUUUUGCUUUAAGUUGUGGGAUUCGAUCUUCUCUGUGUGUACCGAUUUACCAAGAUAUCUUUUCUUAUGAGUCCCCUGGUGGAGUUCUUGAAUUUGUCUCUACUUCUACCGAUCAACUCAAAAGCUUCAGGAACUAUUGCAGAUACUACGAAGCUUUUGUUUUCCGAGUAAGUAAAUUAGAUUCCUUGAAACCUUUCCGGUCAGCCCCAUUAAUUAUAAGAAAAUAACACACGGAUAAUGCCAAAAUAACAUAGUUGGGGAAAAUGACCCCAAAUAUAUAUCAGUCAGUAACGAUGGAUAAUCUAGUACGCUAGAUCGUGUAGCAUUGCGUUUUUGGUAAAUAUCGGAAACGCUGAAUGAUGUAGCGUUUUUUAGGAUAAUGAUAUUUUAGACAUUAAUGAUUAAUGAUGGAUAUUGUGAUAAUGAGGACAACACCCCAUUGAUAUACAGCUCAUUUUUUUUCAAAAAUAAUGUUUUUAAGUAGGCUGUCGCAACUCUUAAAAGUACGGAUUAGAAUAUCCAAACAGGGUAAUUGAAAGAAUACAGUUACAUUUGAGAAUCAUUUUAGUCCCCCUAGCACUUUGGGUACCAUUCCCCUUUUUGAUCCAUUAUAAUGUAGUUCUUUAUAGGCCAAAUUUCUUUUUUCCUUACAGGGAACCAAAAUGAAUUUGAUGAUCGACCAAUUAUACUGUGACCCAAGAAGGCAUGUAAGUCUUUUAAGCUGAUGAAGUUUUCUUGCAAAACGAAUUCGUUAGACGUCAGUUUAAUUAUAUAUCUACUGUUUAAUUUCAGUAUUUAAGGCGCAAUGUGGAAAUGGAUCACUUGUUAACGGUGGUGUGUCAGAAAUACCCUCUACCUCUUGCUCAGUACUGGGAGGUUGGGGACGUUAAUGUCCGAGAUCUGGGCGUAGUGAAUCAAGAAGGCAACAUUGACUUCCCCAAUGUAACUCCCUGGCUUCAAUUCAAAAACGCUUGCAAGAAUAUAGGUUUGUAUAUAGAUGAAGGCCUUGUUGGCAAGUCAUAUCUAUCCCACAAAUCCUUCCUCUGCAGGGAUAUAAAAGAAUUGAGCAUUACUAAUUACCCUUUAGCACACUAUGCACCAAACUGCAGGCCAAUUCCUUGUUUUACUAUAUGCUUGUGCAGCUUUAAGCCCUGGUAUAGAGAAUAUGUACUAGAACUUUUUCUACCUUCUCAGGAGAUGGAUAGUUAUGACCCCCGAACCUUGCUGAACUCUCUAAUGGAAACAAUGAAGGAACAUCUUCCGGAUUAUAUGGUUGCUUCCGGAGAACAACUAGGACAAGUGCUAUCAGUUGAAGUCAUAAAAUCUUCUACACAUGAUAAGCCUGAGUAUUUGAAAAUAGGUGAACCCCAGAGCUCUCUUCCUCCUCAGGAAGGAUUAAAUAAUGAAGGGGAUGCAUCCCAUCAAUUCCCUUUCGUUUUGCCUUCGUUGUUUAAAGACGGUGCUGUGCAAGAUGGGAAUGUUAUGAACAUAGAAGAGAGUAACUCAACCAUAAAUUCUUACGAAGAAAUUGCCUCUGGGGAAACCUCAACAAGUAGACCCAAUAUUGUCCCAGAGACCAUUCACGGUUUGUCUUUUUUACUUAUUUGUUAAGAUCAUUUUGUUUUAGUUUUUCUAACUUUGUGUAAUUUGUCCGACAUUUCUUCACUAGAUCAAUAUGUAUGAAAUGUACACCUUAAUUAUCUGUACUCGACUACAUUGGCUUUGCAGCAGAUGAAAGUGUUCAAGAAUCACCUCUUGAAAAUAUUGCUUAUGCUCUCACUAAUGAAGAUGUGAACUAUGCUUUAAAUAAUAAAGAAGAUAUGAACCUCGAGAAUGUUAGUAAGCAUUUCGGAAGACCACUCAAUGAUGCAGCAAAGAGCUUUGGAGGUAGGUUAUAUUCUACUGUACUUCUAUCUUUCAACUUACAUUAUUCCUAAAACAUUCAUUGCCUAAGCAUUGUUGUGUAUUCAUUUUAAUAUUAAACAUUUUAGUUAGCCGAUCCACAUUCAAGCGCAUAUGUAGAGGGCUCGGUAUCAAGAGGUGGCAAUCCGGGAAGAGAAGAAUGAAGGGUAACUUUUCAUCUAGGCUCGGAAAAGGAAUAAAUCAGGAGCAACCAGGUAGAAGAAAUUUUGGUAGUACCAGCAUGGCAGCUGUGAAUGAAACAGUUGUUGCGCAUUCUAGCCAAGACUUGAAUAAGAUGACUGUAAAGGCAACUUAUAAGGAUGUUACAAUAAGGUUUAAACUACCUGAUUUAUCAGGAAUUGCAGAGUUGGAAAAUAAUGUGAUUGAGAGGCUGCAUUUGGGGAGAAAUAAUUUCACCAUCAAGUAUCAAGAUGAGGAGGGUGAUUUGGUUUUGAUUGCUUGUGACAAGGAUGUGCGAGAAUGUAUUGAAAUCUCGAGAUCUUUGAAGGAAACGACUAUCAAAUUGUUGCUUGAUCCGCCUCUUAAUCGCAAUGCACUUUGAAAGCCUAUGAGUACUACUCAGUACUCUCUACCCUUUUAUUUUUCCCUUUCCAACAAAAAUGUGCUUAAACUUGAGUUUCUGUGACAAUUUGCUUGCUGUCUUCGUGGGGCGGAAUGUAGAUCACGAUAAUACUCCCUCCGUCCCUUUUUACAUGUCCAUGCUUUUCUUCGAGAAGUUAAAUUAACUAAUUUUUGACCAAAUAUUACAAAUUAUCUACUCAUUAUUUUUUAAGAUAUGAAAGUUGCAUAUUAAAGUAGACUAAAUAUACUUUCUAAUGAUAUAAUUUUUAUUAUUUUUCUUGAUUAUCUGACAAAAUAUAGUCAAUUUGACUAGUCAAAAGUCAAAAUGGACAUGUAAAAGGGGACGGAGGGAGUACAAUUCAUCUUGAUAUAAAGUCGAUUUUUUGGCACAUAUUUCUAAAUUUUUGACAGUAAAAUUAUUAUUUUUGAAAUUUGUUUUAUUUGAAUUAUUAAUCAUAUAUUUUAUUCAAUUUUGUUUAAAAAUUAUAAUUUUAAGUAUAAUUAAAGAUUUAGAAAUGUGUGUUUAAAAAUUCACACGCAUGAUGCACCGGUUUGUUUAGUGGAAGUUGUUUUGGCUUAUACUUUUUUUGACAUGUAAAUGAGUAGAAUCGCUUUUAGUAGAAAGAUGAGAAUACUAAUUAUUCUAUUAAAAUUUCUAUGUUUUUUCAAUUAUUUUUCUUCGCUUUAAGCAAAAAAUUAUUUUUUUUAAGCUUUCUCGUCUCUGUAUUUCAAUAAGGAGGCAGUACUUCUUUAUACCUCAGUAAUAGACGAAUUGUUAAUGCCUGUUUUCUUAAAACACUUUAUCAUUGACCGGGCAGAGAAGUUUAGUGGGUUAAAUAAUGACUAACUAUUUCAUGUCCUAAGUCCAAUUAUAAGGAAUGUGACAUAAAUUAGUGCUCCAGCAGUGUCUUAGAGGUACCUUAAAUCACUAGGAUCCUCCUUCCAUGCCUUAUUAAUAAGGCACCACUAGCCAUGCCUUAUUUGAUUUCUUUAAUAAAAAAAUCAUUUCUCUCUCUUAUUGUAACUUAUUUUCUCUCUCUUCCUUCCAUCUUUUAUCAAUCUCUUUCCAAAUUUAUUAUUAUAAUAAUAAUAAAGAAUGGAUUAUAAGGAUCAUUGUUGGAGUUGAAAUACAAAAUCUUGUCCUAAAUCACUAGAAUUCAAUAUUUUAUAAUAUUUAUAAGGAAAACACUGCUAGAGAUGCUCUAAGCUGUACAUGAAUAACUUGUUGAAACUUGGUGAACCUUUCACACAUGUCCGGGUCCACCUAUGUGGCUAUGUAUAUGCCUCGGGUCUCUCUUCUUUUUUUUUUUAAGAGUAAAUCACAUUUUGCACCUGUAACUUUGGGGUGUUUUGCGAUUUGGUCUCAUUGUUUAAAAUUUUGCAGGUUGCACUCAUAAGUUUUUAUUCUGUAACGCUUUGCACCCACUUAACAUUUUCCAUCCAAACCACCGUUAAAUCUAACAGAAGGCAGGGGCAGUUUGGGAAAACAUGGAUGCAACAGAGGGCCUUACAUUAGUUUAGCAAGCUAACCGACUUAACCUAAAUUAGAGUCCCACAGCCAAUCAAAUAUAUGAACCCUGCCAUAAUAUAUGCAACAUAUCUAACAUGUUCAAUAAUUCCAGAGACACCUUUUAUAAGAGUUUUAUAAUAUAUAUUUUAAUAUUUAUUUUAUUUUGAAUAUAAAGAUAUGUAAGAAUAAUAUGUAUUUUUUUUGUUAAAAUAAAUUUAAUUUGAACAUUUAAUAAAUGUGAAGAUGCCGAACCACGCAUUAUAAAAUUAUAUAAGAAACAAUUACGACCCUUUUAUAGACUCACAUUUAGGUAAUGUAUCAAAAAAUAGGUGCUCCAGCACUAUCAUAGUAAUUACCAAAAUCACUAAUACAUCCUCAAAUUGCGGCAGUAUCAUAAUAUUUUUCUAAACAAAUUCGUAAAUAAAUGAAUAUCUUAUUAUACUAUAUAAUAAAUAUUAUUCAAACUAAUAAUAUGUGUUCACAUUUAAAUAAAGAAACAAAUGGAUACUUUAAAUAUUUGUUAAAAUUUAUGAAAAACUGAUUCAACAUGCUAAAUGGAUGCUUUCAAAUAAGACAUGUUAAAUGGAUACUUUCUAAUAAAACAUGUUAAAUAGAUAUUUUUAUUAUAUUUAAAAAAAACAUUCUCAUCAAAUUAUAUUUAUUCUUACAUAUCCCUAUAUAUAAAAUCUAUUAAAUACAUAUAUUUAAUAAAAAUAUAUAAAACUAAACAAAUUUAUUAAAUGUUCAAAAUCUAUUUUAUCAUAUAAAGGUGUUUGAAAAUUUGAAAAUUUAACCAAUAAAAUAUAAAAACACAUAAAAUUUAGCUAACGAUCCUAUAAUUUACACUCACGUGAUAUUCGAGAAUCAUGGAAAUUUAUUUCAUUGCUGUUUGCCCCGUGGUUUGCUGUAAGAAUGGACAACCAGCGCAUACAAAUUUGACCAAUCUUUAUUUAAAUCUCAUUUUUUGAAUAAUACACAUAUCCCUCACUUAUGCAUGUUCUUUCCCAAACUAUCCCUCCUUUCCGUUAGAUUUAACAGAGGUCUGGAUGGAAAGUGUUAAGUGAGUGCAAAGCGCUACAAAUUAAAAACUUAUGAGUGCAAUCUGUAAAAUUUUAAACAAUGAGACCAAAUCGCAAAACACCCCAAAGUUACAAGUGCAAAGUGUGAUUUACUCUUUUUUUAAUCAGUAAUAGUAUAUGUAUGUCAUGUUUUAUGUUCACGUACGGUAUAAGAAAUUAGUCGUGAGAAACGUAAAUUUAGAUGAUAAAAUAAAUUUUAAUAUGUAGAUGAAUUUCGUAUACAAAACUUACAAAAUUUAUUUUUGUAAAUAAAUAUAAAUGCUACUUGAAAAUGUUGAAGGAUUUUGUAAGGACGUGAGCAAAAAUUUAUAAAGAUCCUGCAAGAAAUUCAUCAUUAGAAUAUGGUAGAAUAUUGAUUUAUAAUUCUAACAAAUUUUAUAAUGUUAAUUUUUUUUGUAAAUAGAUAUAAAAGUAUAUCUAUUUGAAAAUGUUGAAAAAUUUUCUAACGACGUGAACUAAAAUUUAUAGAGAUCCUACAAAAAACUUUCAUUAUAAUAUGAUAGAAUCUUGAUUUAUAAUUAUAACAAAUGUUAUAAUGUUUUAUAUUGAAUUUUUAAAUUUUGUAACAAAAUUUCUACCGAACUUAGUACAUUAAAAUAAUUUGAAAUUAUUUAUAAAAUUCAAAAUAACAACAAUUUAUUAAUGUCAAAACAUUAUCCAUUAUCAUAAUAAAUUUAUAUUCUUUCAUAGAAAUCAAAUCUAUUAAUAUAAAUAAAUUAUUUGCUAUAUAUGAUAAAAUAUAUAUUGUUUCCACUAUCAUUUUAUAAUAUAAAAUAUCGUAAAAUCUAAAUAUCAAAAAGAAAAUAUAGUCAAUUAGUUGGUAAUAUUUGAUAAAUUUGAAUAUAUUACCAAAGAAUUACUUGUGCAAAAAUUAUGGACACUAAAUAAUACUAAAUCAUUAAUAAAAUAAUGUUAAAUUAAAUUAUACUCACUCCGUUCCCGCAAGAAUAUCUGAUUUUUUUCCACUAUACUCAAAAGAGGUAUUUAAAAAUUAUAUAUUUCAUUUUUUCUAUUUUAUCUAGAAAUAUGGAUCCUAUACUUUUAUACAAAACAAAAAUUUUUUAAAAAUAUUAUUUAUAAGUGUCUCUCUCAAGUCCCAACCAUAUUGAGAUGGGUGCAUAAGUGUCUCAUUCUUAUCGAAAGGAUAUAAAUAAUAAAUUUUGAAUCAUAUAAUGUAUUCAUUCAGUUUCAUCUGAUUAUUUUUUUUUCUUAAGGAACUUCAUCAGAUGAUUUGAGCUACAUUUUGAAUCAUAUAAUGUAUUCAUUCAGUUUCAUCUGAUUAUUUUUUUUUCUUAAAGAACUCAUCAAAUGAUUUGAGCUACUAUACUCCCUUGGUCUCAUUUCCUUUCGCUUUUACACACAAUUCAAAUUAUAUAAAAUAAAAUUUGAUUAUUAUUUCUGAAAUUCUUUAAUUAAACAAAGAUUAUAUAUUUUUAUUUGAAAGUAUUCACAAAAUCUCUUUUAGUAUUGUAAGAAAUCAAAAAGUAUGUAAAAUGGGGUCAGAGAGAAAUAUCCCUGGUGGAGUGGUGGGUGGUUUGUCCUUUUCGUGUGUUGUUGUUUGCAUGAGCUGAACCUUUUUGAACCCUUACAUUUUUGGGUUUCAAUGAACCUCCUGAAAUAUAUUUAUUCCCUGAGGACUUUGUUAAUAGAAACCAGACAGGGACAAGCAGAUCAGAGACGCAAUACAAUAUUUUUCCGCGUAUAUAGUCCCUAAAACAAGUAGUAUAUAAAUGAAGCAAAGCUCCUGGUACUUCAAACAGAACUGCAAAUCAACUCUUCCUUCCUUUUAUUCCCCUUCCUAUUCUAUUGUUUCUAUUUUCAGAUGUCUCCUCCUCACCAAUUCAUAUUCAGCAACUAUUCUAUGCAACUCAAUGUUGCAUUCAUCAACAUAGCCCCCACACGAGCCCGAGAAAAUAAUAAUCACGCGAUUGUUGGCAUUUUGGGGAUAGCUGUUACAGUCCUCCUCAGCGCCUUGCAACUCAAGUACCAAUCAGGAACCGAUUCUGCAUUCCAGGAUCACCCGAGAGCCAUGGUUUUCGCUAUAGCUAGUUUCCUUGCUUUCUGCUUGGUUUGCGACUUGGAACAAUACUUUCGCUCUACUCAUAAUACUGCAGCUUUUGCAACAGUACUGCACCACAUCCUCAGAUUGUCUGGUUUCGUUUCACUUGCAUCUUUAGCCUUCGUCAUUUUCUCGCCAUCCACAAGCUCAGGGACGUCGCUCAUUGUUUAUCUGAUUUUCCCUGGGUUUUUUUCAGCAAGGUCGGUUCUACACUGGAUCCAGAAUAGAAAGUUACGUGGAAACAGAGGAGCCUGCAAUUUUGAUAAUUCACACCCGAACUUUGUGGAUAGUGACUAUUUGAACUACAUAGAUACUCUUCCAGUGUACCGCAGAGCUCCUGCGAAUCUUGUUUAGUCACUUCUGGUUCCCUAGUUGUUUUUGGUUUACAAUUCAGCAUGUCACGUUAAAUGAGGGGGCUUUUGGUUCGUGAUUAAUGAGCUCGGUUAACAAGAAUCAGAACCUCAAACCCAUGUGUUGGUAUUUGGGUUAACCAUUUUGUGGUAUGGAAUUUUUGAGUUGUAGGCUUUGUCAAGUUGUAAUUACUUUGAUUAACUGAUACAAAUCUUUAGCAGUGCAGCGAAAUUGAAGAUCACAUAAACCACAAAUAUCAAAGUCUUAAUUAGUUACUUCCUCCGUCCAGGUCAUUAGUUAACAAAUGGGCUGGACACGGCGACCAAACACUGAAUAAAUAAUGUAGAAACAUGCUGAGUGAAUAUAAUUAAAAACAACAAAAGUGAGAAUAAUGGUGGGAUCCAUCGACAAGCAAGUCGUCGCACAAAUAUGCAAUGAUCGUGAGAUUUCAUUACAUUUCCGACGUCCUUAACCAUGUACUUCUAUUGUUUAUGAUGAUUGAUCGGAGGAUCAACCAACAGCGUGAUUGAUGUUCUCUUUAAUGACCGUGAGAUUUCGAUGCAUUUCCGCACGUCCUUGUCACAAGCGAUCAAUAUCCAAAUGACCUCAUCAUCUUGGUACUUGAUACUGAAACUCUCCCUCUCCAAGUGCAACCUCUCGAUCACAUUAUUUUCUAGCUCUGCAAUCCCUGAUGAAUCAGAUAAAUCAAACCUUAUAGUCACACCAUUGUACAUUGCCCUUACAGUCACCUCAUUCAAGGUUUGGCUUAUAUGAUCAACAGCAGGUGCUUUUUCUCCGGGAGGCAAACCCGAAUGAAAGUUUUUUUCAGCUUGUUCAUCGUCCCUUGAUCUUCUCCUAAGAUUAGAUGACAUGUUUCCUUUUAUGCUUUGCUUGCCUCGUCGCCAGUCUUUAAUACCAAGACCUCUACACUUGCGUUUGAGUGUCGAUCGACUAACUAACAUAUUGAACUAGGGGUGUACACGGAUCGGUGAAACCGACCGAACCAACCCAAACCGAUCAUAUUUCACCCGAACCAAUCCGAUCUUUUUUUACCCGAUAGAUAAUUGGAUUUAAAAAUGAGUAACCCGAUUUAAUUGGGUUGAACAUUCUAAAUAAGAUGCACAGCUAUAAUAAUGUUUCAAUAGUAGAUAACUUUUUUGUUUCUGAACAAUGUAAGCUGAAAGAAGUGCAAGAACAUGAAAGAGCAACACCUACCACCAAAGCUCUUUGCUGCAUCUUCUAAUGGUCUUCCGAAAAGCUCACUAAUAAGUAACCAAAUUAAACAAAAACCAACUUCUGCUUAUGGUAUGAGCUGACAAGCUGUUAUAUAGUCGGAAAAGUAGCAUAAUCUAUAUAUUGGUAUCAUCACAAAAAAAAUGUUUCGCUUGACUGAUGUUGAAACAUACCUUCCACCAUUGCAUUUGACACGCAGCAUUCAAGUGCGUGCAAUAUUAUGAGAAAGGAUAAAAUCAUGUGCUGCCUCUUUAGUGUUAAAAUUAAAUUAUUCCAUGACUUGCAAUUAUGGAAAGAUGACAAGUAGCUUGACAUCUCCAAAGAUUGAACUGAUAAGAGAGUCAAUUAGAUUAUCGUCAUACAAAAUCAAGUAAAACACACCACUGUUCAGAAUUACAUUAUUUAUUUUAUCUGCACAUUUUUCGUAGGUUUUGUAAUCACCCAGCUGAUGAUUGCAUCCACCAUCUGCUUUUCAACCACUAGACUAAUUUACAGGAAAUAAAUUAUAAAUCAUAUAUUUGGGUCCUCAAGUAGUAAAUCAAAAAUACUGAACAGGGAACAUAACAUACUAGAAAUGUUUAUAAAUAUCAUUCUGUAGACCGAAACAAGGCUUGUAAUACCUUGGUUUUCCACUGCAACACGGUCUUGGUGCAUUAUAGCAUCCCAAUCAAGUUCCACAUUUGGAUAAUGUUGGAAGGCAUGAGCUCCACCUUGGGAUUGAAAUAUGUCAGAUUCUUCCUUGUUACUCUGCAAACUGCCCAAACCACCCGAACACGACACACUGCCAGAAUCCUUAGCAUCCGACCAACCUUUGAAAAGCUUUUCAAAUGUUGAUAAAGGACAGUCAGGAGACAUUAAUUCACCUUUAGAACUACAAUUGGGGAAAUUAAGCUUAGCAUUUCGACCUCUUAACCUAAAUGCCGCAUGAUCAAACGCCAAAGCAGCUUCCUCUUCCGUGUCAUAGGUGUCAAGACAGACAUCACGAAUCUUGGCUACCCAUGGGCCCCCAAAGUACUCACUCCUAGUCCUACUCACACCCAUGUAUCUGCUAUUUCGUGCAGAGCUUGUCAACGUUGGU